CUCAGCCAAAAAGACUCAUUUGCAGCUGAAGCAAACAUAUGAAGAUUGUCAUGGAAUAUGUACAAAACGAAAAUUUACAAGUCUUCAAUAAUCAUCUUCAUCAUCAUCAUCAUCUUCAGUACUAGUGUCCGUACUGUUUUCCGAGUAAUCAACAUCAAUAGCCACAACCUUACAGGCACUAAUCUUAGUAGAAGCUGAUCUGAUCUUCAAUGGCAAUUUUGCAUUGCAAGCCACAACUCCAUAUGCUUCUUCUCCCUCUUUCUUCAAGUCGCGAGGCGGCAAAAAACAGUCCAUUGAUAAUCCUUUUAUGUUAAAAUCCACUUCUUCUAUAGCCCAAACCUCUUCCAUUCUUGUUCUUGAAUGGUUUUCUGAGUUCUCACCAAAUCUAAACAAUGAAACUGAUGUUCUACCACCAUGUGCUAUGUUUAUCCCGUCAAUGGUUCUGUAAUCUUGAAUUCUGGACUCCAUUGUCGUCUCCCAGAAUAUGCUGUCGUUUCCUGAGGCUUUGAUUCUUAGAAGGUGAGAGUCUUCUAGUUGGACCAAGAGGCCUGUUCUUUGACUGAAGUAUCCCCUAACUGUGUGCCUUAUUAUUUCUACAUUGCUUGUGCUUCUUGCUCUUAAUGAUGAAGGUUCAGCUUCUAGCUUUAGUACAAAACAGUCCUCGUCGUUGAUUGCCAUCUCCCCAACGCAAAUGGAGUUGGAGAACAAGUUGGCCGUGGAUUUUGGAUCAAGACCCUGGAGGAACCGCCUGAGUGGCCUAGGUGGGCCUCUGGAAGCAUGGGAAUGGUGCCAUGGAGUCUGCCUCCAAGCUACCUUACCAUCACUGCCUGCGCUAAUCUUGCAACCUGAAACCACCAGCUCCAGGCACCACAAGUCAGGCCUUUUUUGCCAGAGAACAAAUCCUCCCAUCUCUCCACCUCCAUUCAUCAAAUUCUUCACUUUCACCACCUUAUUGUUCAAGCUCCCUUCUCCUGUACAGAACUCUGAAGCUCCCAUUUUCACCUUCCCCAUUGCAUACAUGCUGUCUACAGAAUUCAAUGCCUUCUCCCCUCCCACUGCUGCUACGUACUGUUGCACUAUGUAUUUUGCCAUUGAUGCCUCAAUAGGUUGGUCUUUGAUGUUCCGGUUGAUGAAAAGGUGAUCACAACUGAUGGGAAGAGGGAUCAAAGGAGCUCCAACAACACCAAGCAAGAGUUGGAUCUCUGUAUUUCUGCUUCCAAAUAGGUUUGCCAGAGAUCUAUCAGUAUGUGGUCUCAUCCAAGCUUUCAAGUUCUGCCACGACCUAUUCCCGUUCUUGUUUGAACCAAACAUCUCCUCUGGGAUUGGAACCUCAAGGACCGUCUCGAGCCCAUCUUCUCUAUCAAAAUUUGGACAAAGUUUCCUCAUUAGAGAAAGAGAAAGAAUAUUGCAGAUGUCAAGUUGUGGGAGUUUUCAAGCAGAAAAUAAAGAGAGAGAGAGAGACUUGGAUUGAAAGGGAGGAGGGACUAUGAAGAGGGGCAGAGAGAUGAGUAUGUUUGUGAAUUGUGUGUUUAGGCAGCUAUGGUGAACAUAUGGCCAACCGACCAUUGCCCACUGCCAACGUGGUA
rnacentral:misc_RNA from 1 species